CUUUUGGAAGAAAAUGUUCUCUACUAAGAUUUGUGAAGCUUUAGUUCUCCAUAAUUAUUCUUAUGGAACGAUUAACAUUCACACAAAGGUUGGUGAACUUUGUAAAUUCACAAGAUGCCAUAAUCCCAUACUCAUUUGUUCAGUUAGAAUAUUAGUUUCAUUCAUGGGAAUAUUUGUGUCCACUGUCUGAAAUGUGAAUGGUUUAUGGAU